AAAAACCGGCCGAUUUCGUCGCGGCGGCCAUCCAUGGCUAGGGUUUGUGUCAUGUUUUUAGCAUUCAAAAAAUGAAACUUAUAUUGUUUCAUACAUGAGCAUGCACAAAAACCCAUAAUUUUAUCUUUCAUCCAUGAGCAUGCAUAAAAAAUUUCAAUUCCUAUCAAUUACCAAACUGAAUAUUCAUAAUUAAGAAAUUGACAUGUUUAGAUGGCACUGUCAUACAGCAUCCAUGAGCAUGCACAAAAUUAAACCUGACAUACUUAACAUUGACAUGUUCAGAUUACACUAACAAGCUUAAACCUAACAUGCUUAACAUUGCCACUUCAUUUCUUAACAUCUUCACUCCUCCUUCUUCUCCUUCAUCAACUUGAUGCGCUCAGAGUGGCGAAUCCCAACGCGGAUGUACUCCUCUACCAUAAUUGGCAUGGUCCUGUAGCCAAGCUGUGGGAUUGCAGGCGCCACCACCAUCACGAGGUCAUUGUCAGGCACCACCAUUGCGAGGUCAUCAUUAGGCACCACAAUCGCGAGGUCAUCGUCAGCCACCACCAUAGCAGGGUCGUCGUCCGCCACCACCAUAGCAGGGUCGUCGUCAGCCACCACCAUAGCAAGGUCGUCAUCCGCAACCAACAUAGCAGGGUCGUCGUUAGCCAGAAUAGGCUGCUCCUCGGCAUCCCCGCUCUGCUCCUCGUCAUCCCCACUCCGCUCCUCGUCAUCCCUGCUGCUGCUCCCAUUGCC
rnacentral:lncRNA from 1 species